GAGUUUGAUCAUGGCUCAGGAUGAACGCUGGCGGUAUGCUUUACACAUGCAAGUCGUACGAAAAGUAUUUGAAUUUAUUCUUUUACUUUUAGUGGCGGACGGGUGAGUAACACGUGAGAAUCUGCCUUUAGGAGGGGGACAACAAAUCGAAAGGUCUGCUAAUACCCCAUAUGUCGAAAGAUGAAAUAGAUUUAUCUGCCUAAAGAGGAGCUCGCGCCUGAUUAGCUAGUUGGUAAGGUAAUGGCUUACCAAGGCGACGAUCAGUAACUGGUUUGAGAGGAUGAUCAGUCACACUGGAACUGAGACACGGUCCAGACUCCUACGGGAGGCAGCAGUGGGGAAUUUUCCGCAAUGGGCGAAAGCCUGACGGAGCAAUACCGCGUGAGGGAUGAAGGCUUACUGAGUUGUAAACCUCUUUUUUCAAGGAAGAAGUUCUGACGUUACUUGAAGAAUAAGCAUCGGCUAACUCCGUGCCAGCAGCCGCGGUAAGACGGAGGAUGCAAGUGUUAUCCGGAAUCACUGGGCGUAAAGCGUCUGCAGGUGGUUUUUUAAGUCUGAUGUUAAAACUUGAGGCUCAACCUCAAUCCAGCAUUGGAAACUAGAAGACUAGAGUAUAGUAGGGAUAGAGGGAAUUUCCAGUGGAGCGGUGAAAUGCGUAGAUAUUGGAAAGAACACCGAUGGCGAAAGCACUCUAUUGGACUAUUACUGACACUCAGAGACGAAAGCUAGGGGAGCAAAUGGGAUUAGAUACCCCAGUAGUCCUAGCCG
rnacentral:rRNA from 1 species